rnacentral:rRNA from 1 species
UACGUAGGGGGCUAGCGUUGUCCGGAAUCAUUGGGCGUAAAGCGCGUGUAGGCGGUCCGGUAAGUCCGCUGUGAAAGUCGGGGGCUCAACCCUCGAAUGCCGGUGGAUACUGUCGGGCUAGAGUGCGGAAGAGGCGAGUGGAAUUCCUGGUGUAGCGGUGAAAUGCGCAGAUAUCAGGAGGAACACCAAUUGCGAAGGCAGCUAACUAUGCGAUGAUUGACGCUGAGGCACGAAAGCGUGGGGAGCAAACAGG